rnacentral:tRNA from 2 species
AAAUAAGAAGCAAAAUUUGCGUUUAGUUUCGACCUAAAACCCUGAUGAGUAAUCAUCCUUAUUUA